CUGACUGCCACUAGGAAAGGAUCUCUUUCUGAAGAUCCCUCCUUGGUAAAGGUUUUUCCAGCAAUCCUAGGAUCUUCUGUUAUGGAAUUAGGUAACCCAGGCUAUAUGUGAGCUGAGAGCAGGACAAAACUAUGCACUGAUGCCUCAAAAAGAGAUUGUGUGGAAUGAUACUGUGCUGAGGUGAAACCUAAAGGCUACUGCUGAUAGAAGCAGCUGAUUUCUGUCUGAAGUGGCGAGUCCUGAGAACAGGCUAUUCUUUUAGAAGGGGGAGCUGGACAUCAUUCUGCUGUUGGAGACUGAAGAGCAGCAGUGGGAACUACCUGCUGAAGGCCUAACUAUCUGAAAAAUGUUAGCAUCGUGAUCUGCCUGUUCA